UCCCCAGGGAUGGUGCUCUGCUCCCCUCCAUGGCCACACAACCAUCGCACCGUGCCUCCGCCUCCUCCUCCUCCCAUGUUUCCCCGCCGCCCCUGCCCUAGGCUUGGUUGCCGGCGCUGCUCCGACGCCGCCUCCGUCAGCCGGCUCAGUCGUCGGGGAAGCUGGUGCCGAUCUGGCCGUCGCACCACAUCGGGAGGGAGUUUGGGUGGCGCGCCGUCGUUGGCAUGGAUGCGGUACGGUGAGCAGGGAGCAGCGAGGAGGUGACGCCCAUGUCAACCACAGGCCCGGAGGUCACCACUCACCAAUGGCUACGCGCCGCGUCGGUCCACAGUCAGCAGAGGGGCGACGCAUUGGAGGAUCUAGACCUUUGCCGGUGCGUCCUCGGCUGCACGGCUACCGACAGUAGGGCGGCAAAAGGAGCGGCAACGGCCCGGGGUGAGCACCUCCGCAGGCCACGCCCCUGGGGGCAGGCCGAGCAGCAGCAGUAGCCUCAACUUUGCUCAUCUCCAAAAGUCCAGCUUAAUGAUGGCGCCUAGGAUACUUGCAAACCAGAUGCUUUCUGUUGUCCUCUCUACGGCCGCGUACUGUCCAUGAAAAAACAAUCUCCCGAUGCAUGAUCCCAGUUCACAGGUGCUGUCCAUGGAACAGAAGGGGCUCGCCGCUUUUAGAUUCUUUGUCUGGAGUAGUAAAGAAACCCACAGUUCGUCACCUGGACAGUGCUUCUCGACCCUGCGGAUGGUCAGUGGCCGCAAACGAUGACCAGCAGUGCUAGCGCUUGCUCCGGAUUAGGGAGCAUGGCAUCGCCUGGAAGCCGCCCUGUCACCAUCGAAACAACGGUCAGAACAUCAAUGCUGCAGUCACGAGACAGAGCACUAAAAACCGUGGUAGCGGAGGAAUCCCGUAGUAGGAGCUGGUAUCUUGGUUCACCCUUUCUCAUCCUGUUAAGGAUGGAUUUGGUUCAGGGUCAGGGUGAGGAGGGGAUACGUUCCCUGGCCCGAUUUAACCUCAUGCAUGAUUGCUGGCUACGACAUGACCGGCUUGGCUCUCUCCUGGUUCUUCUACUUCCUCACCAAAAGCUCAUUUGUUGUGACCAAGAUCAUUUUCCUCUUUUAUGAGAGGUUGAUCUGUUUAUCUUGCAUGAUUACAUUGAAGCGGCACUAAAAAGAUCACCCUUAAAGCUAUUGCAUUUGUUUAGUUUUUUCAUGGGUCUAGGUUUAAUUUGGAUCUAGAGUAUUUAUAAUUAAAUAUAUACAUUGAUGCCUACUCCUUAGGUAAUAUAUCUGGAAGGUUUAAACAGGAAUAUUGCAAAUAAACUAUAUUACAUAGAUAAUUUCAAAGAACAAUUCUCUAGGUUUCAGUGCAUAAUUUCUUAUGCGAAUGAUUUUUUUUGCCUCAUAGAUGACGAUGGUGGGACUUGAUAUAUGCAUCGACAUAAUAAAAUAGGAAUCACUGUAGAAAGCACAAAUAAAAAUAGCUGAUGAAAUAGAUUGAUUUCCAGGAUAAGUGCACACAUAUUACCAAAUCCAGAUCAAAUCAAGAUACUUGAUCAAGUUAAGUGUUCUCUAGCUACAGAGCUGUAAUAUUAAUUAGUAGAUUAGUUGAGAAUAAUCUCUUUCAACUGUGUUCUCCGUUGUCUGUUUGAUCUAGCUUGAUGGUUGGUUUUGCAUAUGUACAUAUCUUAGAUUUGCAAGCAGCUUAGUAUUAUGGGAAGUAGUGAAUAUGUGAGUUGAUGGAUCGACAGGUGUUCAAAAUUUUGCUACAACAUCCAGGGUUAUCAAGAGGCUUGAGGCAACCUUCUGGCUGUAGCACACAGGACACUAGCAAUUGCUACAAGGAAGCCUUCCAGCUGCAGACUUAGCGGUCAGCUUGAAGAUAAAACCGUCCAACCACUUCAUGAUAUUGAUUACUUCGACUUUCAGUAUUGAGUUCUUUCUUGGUUGGGAUUGACACCCAGCAGCAGCAAGAAAGUUUCAAUGGGACAAUAUUCUCAAUAAGGGCGGUUGCGGAUUAUCUGAACAUGAAUCGGUGGCGACAGAAGACUUACAUUACCUUUUCGAUAUUGGCACUGUAGCUUCUUUCAAUUCCUUUGGGCAAAGCUUGCUCCAGUUCUAGACCGCCCCAUGCAAAGCAAACUCAUCAUCAUCAUUUUAUCUGCCAAUGAAUAUAACAAUGCCAACCACUGACAGUUUGAAGACGUGGGAACACUGAGACCACCCGCCUUAGCAUGCUAAAAAUUUGUAUUUGUGCCAAUUAGUUGAAAUAUACGGUUCAUGUGUUACUUCUUAGGCAAGUCUAUCUUAUCAGCUGUGCAAUGAGAAAGAAUGUAUGUAUGUAUGUUAGUGUCUCUAGCCAAUGCUCCCUACGAUGGAUCUAUCUUACCAACUAUGUACUAAACUAGGAGUAUAUAUAUUGGUAAAAAGUUCUAGAUUAGCCUGUUGAA